GUCAAUAUAGUUUAAAAAAAACAUUAAACUGUGGCUUUAAAAACAGAAGUUUUAUACUUCUUAUUGACC
rnacentral:tRNA from 2 species